GGGGCUGUACCUCAGUGGCAGAGAACUUGCCUAGCAUGCACCAGGCACUGCGUUCAAUCCUCAGCACCA
rnacentral:tRNA from 1 species